GUCUGAGCGGUGGGCGAGGCGUAGCGGAGAAUGGCAGGAAGGAUUUCUAGUGAGGCAGUCGCGCUGGGUGUUCCGCGGCCGAGCAUCAGAUUGAUCGGCCACUGUCUUUGUAAAGUCUUCUUCAUUCUCCUCAGUCCAAGGAUGUAUUUCAGAAGGCUCAGAGAGGAAUAGAGACCACUUUGAUACUUACAAAACCAGGGGCACAAAAGAUCUAUAUGAUGAAAUCUCUAUUAAAAUAAAAUGGGUGAUUGCCUGAAAAGCACAUAAGAAAGAGGACAUUUUGCACCAUACGAAAAGACUGUUCACCAGCUGUUCACUGUCAGAGAAAAAGGACACUUCCAGGCUGAAGUGACAGUGCUAAGCUGAAAAACUUUAUAAACAUCAAUGAAUAUUACAAAAGAUGGCCGUGCAAAAAGUUCAAGGUUCAGCACUGUUCCUCGGUGAAGUCAAAUAAUUUGGUUACUUUUUUUGCCCUGAGGACCGUGAGGAUGAUGAACAUAGAAACCUGAUUUCCAUCAUUCAAGACCUGUUCUUUUACUUCAAAGGUACUGUGCUUAUAUAAACUGAGUAACCUACUAGAAAUAUUACUUACAGGAACUGGACAUCUGUGGAGAGAGAAAAAGUGCAAGUCUUUUUAACAAUUUCUCUCUUUUGCAGGUUGGAAAGAAAGUGGUAUUUCGAAAACUGGCUCCCAUAAAUGCAGUCCUGUGUGUCCCUGUCUGUUACACAACUUUCUGCAUUCCCCUUAGGACAUGGCUUUUUGAGAAAAUUAACAAUUUUUGAGGCAUUUGCAGUCCGUCCUGACCUGUUUGUGCUGUACAUUGGACAUGCCUGCAUUUGUGCCCAGUAAAUCAGACCCACAGCUCUUCCCUGUGUGCAUAAUUCCCUCUCCAUGUUAGUGGCUGAGGAAAGCUGCUGCUCCUCCCAUCAUAGGAGCUCCUAAAACUGCAAGAUUGUGAGCGUGUCAGCGUGGUCUGCUUUCUGAGUAGGAAUUGCAUACCAAGCAGAAAGCAGGGAGAGGAAAAGAAAGAAACUAUCUGUAUUCAUCAGUCCUAGGUCUCAGCAGGGCUUGGCAGGAGAGGGAGGAGGCUCGUUAGUUAAUGCAGCAAUUAGGCAAGACACUCCCCACAGUAAAGAGUUGCUCUCUAAACUGGAUGAAGGUGCAGCCUCUGCCCAAACUCACCGGUUCUGCCAAACAACAGACUUUUCAUCAGGGAGAGACUGUGUUUGGCUGACCUCUGCAAUUGUAAAAUGCCUAUAAAAGGAAAAACAUUUUAUAUUUCUCUGAGUCUUUGUGUGCAGAUUAGCUUUCUGUCUAUGGUAAAGGAAACAGGCACAGAAUUCUGGAGGGGAUGAAAAUGGGAGGGUAAGUGAGUUGUUUUUUUACUGCUGUCAUCUGAAACAAGAUAUUUCACUCAUAGGAACUCAUGCUUAAUAUAAGAAUUAUGAUGAUUCAUUUCAUUUUGCAGGCCCUCCUCCAUCCAGUCUGCCAGAGACCACAGCAGCAUGCAGAGAAACUGCUUGUUUCAGAAAAGGACUGGUAUUUCUUUUUAUUCAGCUGUGAUGCUUACUUUUAACUUUAUCUGUAUUCUAAACAGAAUGGAGAAAUCUUUUAGGAGCUAUGUCAUGGACUGCCAUAGCAUAAGUGAAGGACAAAAUACACAUUAAAGUCAGUCAUCCUUGCACUUGUUUUUCUUAAUGCCUAAUGAGGGAUGCUGGCAGAAACAAAAAUUAUUGCCCCCAGGAUCAGCUGGGGGCCAAAUAAAAGACAGCCCCAUUCUCCAGAGCACAAAGGAAUAACAUUUCAAUAGUAAGAAAGCAAAGAGAGAAGAUAACCUUAUUCUAUGCAACAUACCAUGCAUGUAUGUUCCCAAAAAAGGUGGUUUUCUAUGCAGCUCCUGUCAUGUCCUGUCUGAAUUUUAGCUUCACUUAUUGCUUUGAGAUAUGCAGUUUGAAGGCAAAGGCAUACUAGGAAUGCUUUUCCAGUGGUGAUUCCAGAGGAGAAGAUUUCUCAGACACCUAUCUUGUCUUAUGACACGCUCAGCUGGCGGCAGCUUGGCUUGUCAGAGUGGGGGCAGCUUGAUGUGACAGCCUGCUGGCUGCCAGAGGAGGCUCUUCCCUUCCAGGGGAACGGGAGUGGCUGCAGAAUGUUUAGCUGAGCAUCAGUCACCUUAGGAAGGUACCUAUAGAGCUGCACUAAGCAGAGCAGGAGUCUUCAAAAGCACACUUCCACAAAGAAAAAUGGCCAGCAGAAGAGCUGUCUCCAGUGCAUAGCAUUUUUCCCCAAAUCUUUCCUCUCUAAGGAUAAUGGUGUUUAUUUGUGAAGAUCUCUCUGCUGUUGCCCAGAAAUAGCCCACAUAUGUGGAACUCCAGGACUUGCUAUGAGAAAACAACCCACUUUUGGUAAGGCUUAUAAGGAAAAUUGAGGGCAUGUGUUUUUUCUCAGUUGAAAAGUCAUGGCUGUGCAUUCCUACUUCUGCAGAAAUUAGUUGAAAAAAAUCUUACAUUUUGUAUAGUGCUCUAGGAUUAUGAAGUUAUUAAUCUGUUUGCUGGCAGGG